UAAUUCUCCUAAUAAAUAUAUAGUAAAAUACGCAGUCGAUUACGUUUCCACCACUGCCUAAUAACAAUAUUAUAGGAGAAAUGAACGAAAAAGAAAAAAAUACAAGCACAACAGAAACAGGCAUAUACAAAUAAUUGCAAUUAAAUUUAUGCAAGUUUCAGCUGGUUUCUUAUACCCAACCCUUCUUAUGUCCAAACGAAGGGAAAUCCAUCCAGCUUUUAGCUUCUGGUGCAUGCAGUAUCUCUCCCCCAUGGCCAUCAACUUCACUUAUUCUGGACCAUCAAAGCGCACAUCAGUCCUUGUCGUCAAGGGACAGCCUCUUUCUUUUUCUCUAUGUAUACCUCGGAGAGACAAUUUUGUCGAACAAUUGUCUGGCUGUUUGUGUUUACCAAUACUUCACAUGACAUUUUUGCCUUCAAAGGGAACUCAAAGAACCAGAACCCAAGCUUGCCAGUGAACACUGUAGCAGUAUCCAAGGGCACCUUGCCCCUAGCCAAGUCCUCAAGCAAGGACAUCACGUCAGACAGAAUCCUGACCCCACUGAACUCCAUCACAGCAUCUACGCAGGAUGAUUUUAGGGCUCUCACGUGCCCUUGCCCUGAUCUUACCUUCCCCAGCCUCUUCCCUCUAUACUUGAGAGCCACAUCGAUGUGCCUAAAAUCCAUGGAGUACACAUCCACAUUACGUACUUUUACAGUGAGGUGCAGUGAUACGUCAAUGCUGAUUACGGGCAAGGUGUGGACGUGUAAUUUGUUUAGAUGCAACCGGACGAUCUUGAGGGACGGAUCGGAGGGCCAGAAGAGGAAGAGGAGAGCAGCCAGGAGGAGGAAAAAGACGGUGGUGAUGAUUAUGCGCCAAAGAGGACGGCGGAUGGUUGGGCGGCAAAAGGGUAAAACGUUGUAGUUUCGAUCGUGUUGACAUGGUAUAGGAGCGUAGUAGUGAGGAGGUUGCCGUUCAAGUUUGGAAAAAUCCAUGGGAGCUUAAGGAGGGAUGAAGGCAGUGAGCUUUCUGGAGGGAUCAAAAGGUAAGGUAAAAGGGAGAUGAGGUUUUUUGGCUUUUUGCUCUUCAAUGUGUUCUGUUUUUGUGUGAGGAAAUUGUGAAGGGAACUUCCUAGCUGUUGUACUAGUGUUUGUUUCUAGGGAAAAAGAAUCUUUAGGGGUCCAUCUCCAUCAUCAUAUGGACUAUUUGGGGACAGGAGUAUGAUUUUUUUCUUUGAUCAUUGUAAUGUGAAUCUUCCAACAUUUUUAUUGGAAUUUGAAU
rnacentral:misc_RNA from 1 species